rnacentral:rRNA from 1 species
AGGACGAACGCUGGCGGCGUGCUUAACACAUGCAAGUCGAGCGGAAAGGCCCUUCGGGGUACUCGAGCGGCGAACGGGUGAGUAACACGUGAGCAAUCUGCCCUUAGCUUCGGGAUAGCCCCGGGAAACCGGGAUUAAUACCGAAUAUGACUUCGGCCGACAUCGGCUGCGGUGGAAAGUUUUUCGGCUAGGGAUGAGCUCGCGGCCUAUCAGCUAGUUGGUGGGGUAAUGGCCUACCAAGGCGACGACGGGUAGCCGGCCUGAGAGGGCGACCGGCCACACUGGGACUGAGACACGGCCCAGACUCCUACGGGAGGCAGCAGUGGGGAAUAUUGCGCAAUGGGCGAAAGCCUGACGCAGCGACGCCGCGUGGGGGAUGAAUGCCUUCGGGUUGUAAACCCCUUUCAGCAGGGACGAAGCGAAAGUGACGGUACCUGCAGAAGAAGCGCCGGCUAACUACGUGCCAGCAGCCGC